AUGUCCUUUAAGUUAGUCCCGUGAGGCUAGUAAGGUUCGGCUAUAAUAACGCGAGUACCAGAUAAGACCCUGGUAUUAGUGAACCCCUAGACGAAACGGCUUUGUCUAGGGGCUUUUCUU
rfam:Lactobacillus panis DSM 6035 NODE_205, whole genome shotgun sequence.